GGACCACAGGGAUCUCAGGGUAAAGACUUCCUCACAGCUUGAGUUCUUACACAUUGCUGUUUCUCAUAAAUAUGCACCAACACACAAAUAAUUUCUAUUUUGGAGGCAGAAAGUGCAAUAUCAACAGAUGAAAUCUAAAAGACAGCCAAAGAGAAAGCUGCUCUUCCAGAUGGAUCUGCUUUAUAGAUACUUCCCAGACUCUUCAUCUUCAGUGGAAUGUUUUCACUGCCUCAUUGCAACUGCACGCAGCAGUGGUGGCAGCUGUGGCAGGUGCUUCUUUGAAGCCUGGGAAGAAAAUGCAUCUAAUGAAAGGGCUUGAACACCCUCUCUAAAGGUGCUUGUGGAUCGAUUGGAACCAUUUCAUACCUUUUCCAUCCCUGUGCUACCCAGUGUGUGUCUUGAGCUUAGUUUGACUUAGCUGCAGAACUUCCCUCCCUCAAGAGAUAGUGGCUCAUGCAGAGGUCAAAGGCAUCCUUUGUGAGAGCAGUGCUUCAGACCUACUGUGCGUGGGGUUUGAUUUUACAAGACUUCAAAGGCAGCCUCUCUGGAAGUGCCCUAAUAUCAGACCUUUCCCAGAUAAUGGGAAAGGCAACCAGAAGUUUGUUGGGCAAGCAAAAUUAUAAUUUGGGCUUUUUGUUGUCAUUGUGUUUGUUGUUAUUUUUCCUUCCACAAUGAUGACUUACUGAAUUUCAGUUUAUUUUAACGCAUGUUGAUGGUGUAGAAAAGCCAUCAAAGGCUUGAAUCUGCCAUGGUCAGUGACUUGUUUGUAAGAUUUCUUAUUUAUUUCUAUAUAGUUCUCAUCAUUGCAUUGUCAAAGUACAUAAAAGGAAAAAAACCACCCCAAAUGUGUGUUGGUCUCACAACGUUUCAGUGCAUUUGUUUAUUGGUUUUGGUUUGGUUUUUUUUGCUGGUUCAGUCUGACAGCAGCACGAGCUGCAAGAAGCCUUGGACCCAUUUACAGCCAGGUUCUGAUCCUUUCUGAGCCUUCACAGGUUCAGAGAUCUCUUCCCAGCUCACGGUGGCAGCUCAGCUCAUAGUUAUUAGUGAAACCCAUCUCUCCUUGGGGGCUGGGAAUUGCUAAACUGGUAGAUGAGACAUUGAGGUCUAGUAAGUGUUUUGUAAAGGUAGCAGGGAAAAUGGGCAACAUUAGCCAAAGAGAAAGUUCACUUCUUAAAUUAUUUUGUAUUUUGGACAGGGUCUAAACUACUGCUACAUCCUGUCUACCAUGCCUGAAAUGUGGGUUUCUUUUUACCCUGUGUUGAUAUUUUUAAGCAUAAGAAAAAUAAAAUAAAAUAUAAUAUGCUUUUCACUCUCUUGCUGUUUGUCUUAUAUAAUGUGAUAUAAAAAUCAUCAGACAUAUUUUUUUUGUUUAAUGCUUUAUUAUCUUUACUAUUACUUACUGCAAGAAUGCUAUACCUUUGCCCUGCU